rnacentral:rRNA from 1 species
AUUUAAAAUCUGACGGUCCUUGGCCGUCCGNGUUGUAAUUUAGAGAAGCGUCUUCCGCGCCAGACCGUGCAAAAGUCUUCUGGAAUGAAGUGUCAUAGAGGGUGAGAACCCCGUCUUUGGCAUGGAUUCUUGGUGCUUCUGUGAUGCGCUCUCGAAGAGUCGAGUUGUUUGGGAAUGCAGCUCAAAAUGGGUGGUGAACUCCAUCUAAAGCUAAAUAUUGGCGAGAGACCGAUAGCGAACAAGUACCGUGAGGGAAAGAUGAAAAGCACUUUGGAAAGAGAGUGAAACAGUACGUGAAAUUGUUGAAAGGGAAACGCUUGAAGUCAGUCGCGUCGACCAAGACUCAGCCUUGCCUCGGCUUGGUGUUCUUCUUGGCUGACGGGCCAGCAUCAAUUUUGUCCCUCGGAUAAUGGCAAGGGAAAGGUGGCACCCUUACGGGUGUGUUAUAGUCUUUUGUCGCAUGCGAGGGGUGGGAUUGAGGAACUCAGCACGCGCCUCUUGGUGCCGGGGCUUCGGCCCACGUUACGUGCUUAGGAUGUUGGCGUAAUGGCUUUAAACGACCCGUCUUGAAACACGGACCAAGGAGUCUAACAUGCCCGCGAGUGUUCGGGUGGAAAACCCGUGCGCGUAAUGAAAGUAAAAGUUGGGACNUCUGUCGUGGAGGGCACCGACGCCCGGACCAGACCUUCUGUGACNNNNNNGCGGUAGAGCGUGCAUGUUGGGACCCGAAAGAUGGUGAACUAUGCCUGAAUAGG